AGAGUUUGAUCCUGGCUCAGGACGAACGCUGGCGGCGUGCCUAACACAUGCAAGUCACGGGGGGUAGCAAUACCAACCGGCGAACGGGUGCGGAACACGUGAGCAAUCUACCGAUUACUGGGGGAUAGCCGGCCCAACGGCCGGGUAAUACCGCAUACGCUCAAGAGGGGACAUCCCCAUUUGAGGAAACCUCCGGGGGUAAUCGAGGAGCUCGCGUCUUAUCAGCUAGUUGGUGAGGUAACGGCUCACCAAGGCUACGACGGGUAGCUGGUCUGAGAGGAUGGCCAGCCACAUUGGGACUGCGACACGGCCCAGACUCCUACGGGAGGCAGCAGUGGGGAAUAUUGCGCAAUGGACGAAAGUCUGACGCAGCGACGCCGCGUGUGGGAUGAAGCUCUUCGGGGUGUAAACCACUGUUGCCCGGGACGAAUAUCCUUUUUUGAAAGGAUUGACGGUACCGGGUGAGGAAGCACCGGCUAACUCUGUGCCAGCAGCCGCGGUAAUACAGAGGGUGCGAGCGUUGUCCGGAAUCACUGGGCGUAAAGGGCGCGUAGGUGGCUUGUUAAGCGUGUGUGAAAGCCUGGGGCUCAACCCCAGGUCUGCCGUGCGAACUGGCAAGCUUGAGCGUAGUAGAGGCAGGUGGAAUUUCGGGUGUAGCGGUGGAAUGCGUAGAUAUCCGAAAGAACACCGGUGGCGAAGGCGGCCUGCUGGGCUACUGCUGACACUGAUGCGCGACAGCGUGGGGAGCAAACAGGAUUAGAUACCCUGGUAGUCCACGCCGUAAACGAUGGGUACUAGGCGUCUGGGGGAGCGACCCCCUGGGUGCCGGCGCUAACGCAUGAAGUACCCCGCCUGGGGAGUACGGCCGCAAGGCUGAAACUCAAAGGAAUUGACGGGGGCCCGCACAAGCGGUGGAGCAUGUGGUUUAAUUCGACGCAACGCGAAGAACCCUACCUGGGUUUGACAUGCUGGAGAAAGCCCUCAGAAACGGGGGCCCCUCUUCGGAGUUCCAGCACAGAUGCUGCAUGGCUGUCGUCAGCUCGUGUCGUGAGAUGUUGGGUUAAGUCCCGCAACGAGCGCAACCCUCAUCCCUAGUUACCAGCGGGUAAAGCCGGGAACUCUGGGGGGACUGCCGGUGCCAAACCGGACGAAGGUGGGGACGACGUCAAGUCAUCAUGGCUCUUACAUCCAGGGCUACACACGUGCUACAAUGGGCCAGACAAAGGGUCGCCAACCCGCGAGGGGGAGCCAAUCCCAUAAACUGGUCCUCAGUUCGGAUUGCAGUCUGCAACUCGACUGCAUGAAGCUGGAAUCGCUAGUAAUCGUGGAUCAGCUACGCCACGGUGAAUACGUUCCCGGGCCUUGUACACACCGCCCGUCACGCCAUGGAAGCUGUGAGUGCCCGAAGUCCGUGCAGGAACCCGCAAGGGGCCGAGCGGCCGAAGGCAAGCGCAGUGACUGGGGCGAAGUCGUAACAAGGUA
rnacentral:rRNA from 1 species